rnacentral:rRNA from 1 species
AACGAACGCUGGCGGCAGGCUUAACACAUGCAAGUCGAACGCAUCCUUCGGGGUGAGUGGCAGACGGGUGAGUAACGCGUGGGAACGUGCCCUUCAGUUCGGGAUAACCCAGGGAAACUUGGGCUAAUACCGGAUACGUGCGAGAGCAGAAAGAUUUAUCGCUGAAGGAUCGGCCCGCGUCUGAUUAGCUAGUUGGUGGGGUAAUGGCCCACCAAGGCGACGAUCAGUAGCUGGUCUGAGAGGAUGAUCAGCCACAUUGGGACUGAGACACGGCCCAAACUCCUACGGGAGGCAGCAGUGGGGAAUAUUGGACAAUGGGCGCAAGCCUGAUCCAGCCAUGCCGCGUGAGUGAUGAAGGCCUUAGGGUUGUAAAGCUCUUUCGCCAGGGACGAUAAUGACGGUACCUGGAGAAAAAGCCCCGGCUAACUUCGUGCCAGCCGCCGCGGUAACAC